rnacentral:misc_RNA from 1 species
AAUAAGUGUUUUACUGCACUUUUUAAAAAUCAGUAUUCACCUUGUGUGCAAUGUUUGCUGACGAGUUCGCGUUUUUGCGCGUUCUUGACAGUAUAAUACCAACCCUUUAUUGAAAUUUUUUGUCUGAAGAUUUUUGAAUACAUAAUUCGAAAUACAACUUUUAACAACGGAUCUCUUGGCUCU